GAUGAAGAACGUAGCGAAAUGCGAUAAGUAGGGUGAAUUGCAGAAUUCAGUGAAUCAUCGAAUCUUUGAACGCACAUUGCGCCCCUUGGUAUUCCAUGGGGCAUGCCUGUUCGAGCGUCAUUUGUACCCUCAAGCUUUGCUUGGUGUUGGGUGUUUGUCCCGCGUUGCGCGUGGACUCGCCUUAAAGCGAUUGGCAGCCGGCAUAUUGGCCUUGGAGCGCAGCACAUUUUGCGCUUCUAGUCAUGAAUGUUGGCGUCCAUUAAGCCUAUACAUUUGCUCUUGACCUCGGAUCAGGUAGGGAUACCCGCUGAACUUAAGCAUAUCAAUAAGCGGAGGA
rnacentral:misc_RNA from 1 species